rnacentral:lncRNA from 1 species
GAGCGUCAUCGACGCCUACCCUUUCAUCUCCAUGGACACCGAGUUCCCGGGCCUCAUCUUCCGCCCGGCCGUGGACACCACGAGGCCAUACAGCAGCCAACUCCGGCCGUCCGAUCACUACAGGGUCCUCAAAUCAAACGUCGACGCCCUCAGCCUCAUCCAGGUGGGCCUCACCCUCUCCGACUCCCGCGGCAAUCUCCCUGACCUCGGCGGCUCCCCCACGCGCUUCAUCUGGGAGUUCAACUUCAGCGACUUCGACGUUGCGCGUGACCCCCACGCUCCCGACUCCAUCGCCCUCCUCCGCCGCCAGGGCAUCGACUUCGACCGCAACCGGUCCGAAGGGGUCGACUCUGCCCGGUUCGCCGCGCUGAUGAUGUCAUCGG